rnacentral:tRNA from 1 species
GAACGGAGUAUAUAGUAGGUAGCGUGUCUGGCUCGCAACCACAAGGUCGUGGGUUCGAUUCCACUCCGCUUA